GAUGAAGAACGUAGCGAAAUGCGAUAAGUAAUGUGAAUUGCAGAAUUCAGUGAAUCAUCGAAUCUUUGAACGCACAUUGCGCCCGCCAGUAUUCUGGCGGGCAUGCCUGUUCGAGCGUCAUUACAACCCUCAGGCCCCCGGGCCUGGCGUUGGGGAUCGGCGGAAGCCCCCUGUGGGCACACGCCGUCCCUCAAAUACAGUGGCGGUCCCGCCGCAGCUUCCUUUGCGUAGUAGCUAACACCUCGCAACUGGAGAGCGGCGCGGCCAUGCCGUAAAACACCCAACUUCUGAAUGUUGACCUCGAAUCAGGUAGGAAUACCCGCUGAACUUAAGCAUAUCAAUAAGCGGAGGA
rnacentral:misc_RNA from 1 species